ensembl:snoRNA snoRNA:MeU6-C68
UUUAAGUUGAUGAUUCUCCAUCCUUGCGCUCUGAGCUCUUUGCGGAGCUAAGAGGAUAACCUGGUUCUUGCUUCUGCGCGGCAGAUGCAAGCUGAUUCC